CCUACGGGUGGCAGCAGUGGGGAAUAUUGGGCAAUGGAGGAAACUCUGACCCAGCAACGCCGCGUGAAUGAUGAAGGUCUUUGGAUUUUAAAGUCCUUUUCUUAGGGAAGAGGAAUGUGACGGUCCUUUAGCAAUAAGCCUCGGCUACCUACGUGCCAGCAGCCGCGGUAAUACGUAGGAGGCGACCGUUAUCCGGAAUGACUGGGGGUAAUGGGGGCGUAGGUGGUUUGGUAAGUUAGUAGCGUAACUCCAAGGCUCAACCUUGGAACUACUACUAAAACUGUUGGACUGGAGUGCAGGAGGGGCAACCGGAAUUCCUAGUGUAGCGGUGGAAUGCGUAGAUAUUAGGAGGAACACCAGUGGCGAAGGCGGGUUGCUAGACUGUAACUGACACUGAGGCACGAAGGCGUGGGGAGCAAACGGGAUUAGAUACCCUUGUAGUC
rnacentral:rRNA from 1 species